UUAAAUUGAAGAGUUUGAUCAUGGCUCAGAUUGAACGCUGGCGGCAGGCCUAACACAUGCAAGUCGAACGGUAACAGGAAGCAGCUUGCUGCUUCGCUGACGAGUGGCGGACGGGUGAGUAAUGUCUGGGAAACUGCCUGAUGGAGGGGGAUAACUACUGGAAACGGUAGCUAAUACCGCAUAACGUCGCAAGACCAAAGAGGGGGACCCUCGGGCCUCUUGCCAUCGGAUGUGCCCAGAUGGGAUUAGCUUGUUGGUGGGGUAACGGCUCACCAAGGCGAC
rnacentral:rRNA from 1 species